GCCGGCAUGGCGCAAUUGGUAGCGCAACUGAUUUGUAAUCAGUGGGUUGCGGGUUCGAUUCCUGUUGCCGGCACCA
rnacentral:tRNA from 1 species